UCCUAAACGGGAUUGCAGCGAUAUCCUUUUUUUGUUGCAGGUCGACAGGUUUAGUGUAAUAAUCACAAAAAAAGAUUUAGCGGAAAGCCCGACUGACA
rnacentral:sRNA from 1 species